CUUUAGACAACUUCUCUUCGUGCGUCUCCUCUCUCACGCCGAACAUUGAACGUCGAACGUCGCCACCCCUCUCAUGCCGAACGUCGACCUCAAUCUGCCGGUCGACGUUCAUCCUCCUCCAUCUUCACCGCCGGCAUGCCGGUCUCGGCCUUGUGGCGAUCUCGUAUGUAGCGCUCGAUUACCUCCGCUACGUCUCCUCGUCAUGGCACGCGUGACUCCAGCCGGUGUUGUGGGUGGUGCUGGCCCUCUCUGCCGCGGUGCACGCACCCUUCUACUCGCACUGGCCCUCUCAAGAUUUCUAGCGUUAGGGCAUUGGACACGGCUGAGCGAAAUGUGAGACAAGCUUCUCGUGCUCUAGGACAAGGGAAGGCUUUGAUUCUAAAAGGUGUAUCUGAAACAAAGAAAGAGCAUGGGAAGGAAUUGCUUGAAAAGCUGGCUGUUGGGAUGCAAGAGCUUGAAGGCAUUAUCCAGCAAAGAGAUAGGGAGGCAGUGGCCCCAAAGCAGAAGGAACUCUUACAAUAUGUUGGAGGCUCGGAUAUGGAUGAUUAUAGGAGCAGCAACUACAUGCUAUGUGGCACUGCAUCCGAACCUCAAGGGUGUGACUGGAAAGUACUUUGACGAAGAACUAUUAAGAAGACUUUGGGCUUUAAACGAGAAGAUGAUUAAAGCCAACGAGUAAAGAAUAUUCAAGUCAAGAGGAUAAGUAGCAUCUAUCAAGAUUCUUUAAGUUCAUGCAAUAAGAUGUAGUCGAUAGGAGUAGUUUUGAGUAUCUCUUAAUUAAAAUUCUUUGUAUGAAAGUAAUUAUGUUUGUUAUAGAAGUGUAAGGAUGAUACUUUGUAUAUUGAU